rfam:Eubacterium limosum KIST612, complete genome.
UAAAUAUUUCGGUAGGUGAGGCUACCACAGGGAUAUGGAUUACUGCCGCAAACUAGUGGAGACACUACAAGAUGGUCAACAGUUUAUGUCGAACGCAAGGCAUUGACUAAUGUAAUUUCACCGCCCUGUGAAGCUAAAGCUUGAACGGUGAAUAGAUUA